rnacentral:rRNA from 1 species
CCUACGGUAGGCAGCAGUGAGGAAUAUUGGUCAAUGGCCGAGCGGCUGAACCAGCCAAGUCGCGUGAGGGAAGACGGCCCUACGGGUUGUAAACCUCUUUUGUCGGGGAGCAAAGCGAACCCCGUGUGGGUCAUUGAGAGUACAAGAAGAACAAGCAUCGGAUAACGCCGUGCCAGCAGCCGCGGUAAUACGGAGGAUGCGAACGUUAUCCGGAUUUAUUGGGUUUAAAGGGUGCGCAGGCGGAGGUGCAAUUCAGCGGUCAAAGUGCGGGGCUCAACCCCGUACUGCCGUUGAAAGUGCAUCCCUUGAGUGCGCGCGAAGUAUGCGGAAUGCGUGGUGUAGCGGUGAAAUGCAU